CAUCUUAAUAUCCAUUAGAAAUGCACGUCCGUCUGCUUUUCAGUCAUGCUCAGAGGAAACGCAUUUGAUUCUUUAGCUCUGCUCUUUACAGUUAGAUUAUGGUCUCUUCUACUCGGCCCUUACCUAUGGUUUAAUUGUCCCUUUGCUGGUCAAAUGAGUACUACUUAGAGAUAGUCAAGGUGAGAAGUUGGCCUUUGAGAACCUUCUCCAUAAAGCAAGUUGAGAUUUCUCCAAGAGGCCUCAUGCCUUUAUGAAGUACCAUCUCAUCUUGAGGGAAUACUAGUUAAAUAUGUGAAGACCGGGAAAGCUCUCUCACUGAGUUAUGUGGCCAUGAUCAGCGACACACAGGAUACUUCUGUUGUCAAGGACAAAGGGGACCAUCUCGUACCCUCAAAAGACCUUCAUACCAAAAUAUGAUGAUUUGAGUCAAGGAGACACAGCAAUAUAAAAGCAGCAACAUUUCCAUGUAAUUUUGAAAAGUGCACCACUGCCGGCUGGUUUAUUGAUGAGUGCUGCUUCCUCCGAGGAGACAAUAAGAAUUGCUGGAGAUGAACUGCUAAGCCUCGCCCUCCUUGAGCUUGGGUCACCAUGAUAAAAGCUUGGAUCUGAGGUGGGAGAUUCCAGCAUCUUUCCUGGUCUGAGAACCAUUGUCCAGGAUCUUAUUCUAGAGCUCAGGAUGGCCCAGUGCUUGGAAUCCUUUUAUACCUGAUCCAUUGUCUGAUAUAAGUACUGGAAUUACAGAUCUGUGCACUACA